UACGUAGGGUGCAAGCGUUGUCCGGAAUUAUUGGGCGUAGAGAGCUCGUAGGCGGUUCGUCGCGUCGGCUGUGAAAUCCCGAGGCUCAACCUCGGGUCUGCAGUCGAUACGGGCGGACUGGAGUUCGGCAGGGGAGACUGGAAUUCCUGGUGUAGCGGUGAAAUGCGCGGAUAUCAGGAGGAACACCGGUGGCGAAGGCGGGUCUCUGGGCCGAUACUGACGCUGAGGAGCGAAAGCGUGGGGAGCGAACAGG
rnacentral:rRNA from 1 species